GUGAUAGAUUGGAGGUUUAAAGACAUUCUCAUAGCUAGAGUAAGAAAUAAUAAUAACCCCUCAGUGUACGAGGAUGCUCUUGAUGGGAAAUUUAAAGACAGACUGAAGCUGGACGGUCAGACUGGAAAUCUCACCAUCACAAACUUCAGAAACACUGACACUGGAGAAUAUGAAGUCACCAACAGCAUCAACACCUUUAGGAAGAAAUUCAAUGUCACUGUUUACUCAGGUCUGUCUUCAGGUAAAAUAGCAGCGAUUGUUGUUGGUGUUCUUGUUCUGCUGGUGGCUGCAGCUGUCGGUAUUGGUGUGAUUUGCUACAAGUACAUAUGAGCUUCUGUCACAGAUGAUGAUGACUGACUCUGAUUCCUGGAGAAAUAGUAUGCCAGUGAACACAGUCCUGAGAUGUUUCCGGCAGCUUCAUUGUGAAACUAUUUUAAUAUUAUAAUGAUUUAAAUAAAUAAAUCAACAUUUCACAUG